rnacentral:rRNA from 1 species
AAAAACAUUGCCUUUUGAUUAUUCAUAAAAGGUUCAUCCUGCCCGGUGAAAUUUUUUAACGGCCGCGGUACCCUGACCGUGCAAAGGUAGCAUAAUCAUUUGCCUUUUAAUUGAAGGCUAGUAUGAAUGGAUAAAUGAGGAUCAAGCUGUCUCUUUUAUGCUCAUAUAAAUUAAUCUUUAGGUGAAGAAGCCUAAAUAAUAAUAAAAGACAAGAAGACCCUAUUGAGCUUCACUUAUCAACUUUUCUCCUAAAUAUUUAUAAAAUUUAGUCAAGCCACAUAAGUUUGGUUGGGGCGACAAAGGAAAACAAAAAUCUUCCUCCUUAAUCUAGAUUUACUAAUCUCUCUACGAUCCGAUAAUAUCGACUACAGGAAAAAGCUACCAUAGGGAUAACAGGCUAAUUCUUCUAAAGAGCCCACAUUGAUAGAAGAGUUUGGCACCUCGAUGUUGGCUUAGAAUACCCCUUUAAUGCAGAAGUUAAAAAAGGUUGGUUUGUUCAACCAUAAAAAUACUACGUGAUCUGAGUUCA